UACGUAGGGAGCAAGCGUUGUCCGGAAUCAUUGGGCGUAAAGAGCGUGUGAGCGGUUCGGUAAGUCCGCUGUGAAAGUCAAGGGCUCAACCCUUGAAUGCCGGUGGAUACUGCCGAACUAGAGUCCGGAAGAGGCGAGUGGAAUUCCUGGUGUAGCGGUGAAAUGCGCAGAUAUCAGGAGGAACACCGAUGGCGAAGGCAGCUCGCUGGGACGGUACUGACGCUGAGACGCGAAAGCGUGGGGAGCAAACAGG
rnacentral:rRNA from 1 species